rnacentral:rRNA from 1 species
AUUGAACGCUGGCGGCAGGCCUAACACAUGCAAGUCGAACGAGUGGCGGACGGGUGAGUAAUGUCUGGGAAACUGCCUGAUGGAGGGGGAUAACUACUGGAAACGGUAGCUAAUACCGCAAACCAUCGGAUGUGGCCAGAGGGGAUUAGCUAGUAGGUGGGGUAAAGGCUCACCUAGGCGACGAUCCCUAGCUGGUCUGAGAGGAUGAACAGCCACACGGGAACUGAGACACGGUCCAGACUCCUACGGGAGGCAGCAGUGGGGAAUAUUGCACAAUGGGCGAAAGCCUGAGGCAGCCAUGCCGCGUGUAUGAAGAAGGCUUUCGGGUUGUAAAGUACUUUUGGCAGAGAAGCGGUAUCUGAAGAAUAAGCACCGGCUAACUACGUGCCAGCAGCCGCGGUAAUAC